UGGUCGUGCGUGUUCAGUCAUGCCGUGCCCGCCCUCCUUUCUGUCUACUUCUGAGGCGAGGAGCAGUAGCUGCUGGCGGCACUAUCGCACCCCUUCUGUUCCUUUCUCAGGUAUUCUUGCAGCAAAACAAAAAUGCUGUUCAAGUGGUCUCCUGCUCCAGUUCUCUAGUUGGAUAGAUUGAUGGUUCAAUUUGUCCACGCCCGUGCACCCCGAGCUAAUGCCAUCUUCAGCAAACUCUUCCACCAAGCAUGUAAGGUGUUUCCAUGGAUGGUAUCUUUCCUACUCUCUUGUUCAAUUAUUGUUCUAGUUAGCUCCUUUCCACAACAUGUGUUUGUGAUUAUGGCAGCAAGAAAGGAUGUGUGGUAGCACGCCCCACAGAAUCUUGGUUAAUCCUGCUAUUGCAAACUUUGCUGCUUUGGUCGAUAUUUGCUAGCUUGAAGUAAUAUAUGUUUUAGUGGAAGUUGUAUUUUUGUAUGUUGUAUGGCUUGCUGACCUGUCCAGCUCUUAUGUGAGAACUGAUACUUGAGACUUAGUGAACCAUACAAAUAUUCAACAUGGAUAAAAAGUUUAGGUAGUGGAUAGUGUGGUGUUAGUAAGGAGCAGGAGAAGAACACUUGGGCAUCGUUGUGGUUAGCAUGAUUCUGUUAAAAUCUAUUGUGUGAUUGUGUCUUAAGAUCAUGCAUACAUUUUUUGUUAAAGCUAUUUUGUCCUUCAUUGUGGUUGGCUUUGAUUUUAAUUUCUUAUUCUGUGGCUAUGCUUAUUUGUUAAAUGUGGUAGCUUGCUGUAAGAGCCCUAGCAUGUACCUCUAUCUCUAAUUUACUUUUUGUCCCCUCCUGCUGCUUGUCAUCAUCGAUCUUAAUAACUAAGAGGGGCCGAAAUAAAACAUGAACCUGGUCGUCCUCUUCCUGCUAAUGGAUCCUUAAUGUUGCUACAAUUCUGAACUUAUUUGUUCAAUCGUACUAGUACUGAUGAAUACCGAGUUGAUUGAAAAAGAUAUGUGUCGAAAAGUUCACUUCAUCUGCAUACAUAAGUUCAAAAAAUUGUCGUAGAGCUAGUUCAAAAGAUUGUCAAAAGGUAGAAUGGUUGUGCUAUUUCAAUUUUUUCAGUCCAUCUUCUGUGUGCUAUUCAGUACAUCUAAUUCCAAAUUCUAAGUACAAUUGCCUUUAUGUUUUCCAUCUUCAUAUAGCACAAAACAGGCACUGGAGGAUAAGGUGAGAAUAUAUACUAAUGAAAUGUUUGGUGGUGUUGUCCACAUUUUGAAUUUAAACCACUAGCUUUUUUAUACACGAGGGCUUGUCCUGGGAGAGCCCUAUAUAGCCAUGUGCAAUACUGCUACAAACUUUAAUCCCCCAUUGUCCGGCCUGCGGAGCAUUAGGAAAAGUUCAAAUUUUGUAAUUCAUUCAGUUCUUCUGGUUAGUAGACUAGUGGUUCAUCUUGAUAAAUCUGGCGGUUUAAAGUUUCUCUAUGUUUUGUUACAGCAGUUGUGUAUUUUUAGAAGAAAAACAACAACGACGGCUGCACUGGAGCAGCAGGACUACUAUUGCUGAUAGGUUUGUGAACUAAUAAACAUUCUUUUUUAUGUUCUUGUGAUGUUUCAUACUUUCGUGAACUUAUAGUUGAUGCUCUUUGUGAACUGAUAGCUGAUUCUUUUUGUUAACUGGUAAACUAAAUAAUGACAUGGAUGUAUUAUCAGGCCGUGAAAAUGAUGUAAAAAAUAUGUGCAGAUUAGUGGAUGAGUGCUAUCUAGAUUCUUCUAAUAUGAAGAUAGUGGCACCACUAAGAAAAAGAGAAAUAAUCGGUUUUUCUGUAGCCACGGAAUGGGCAUUUGGCUCAGUCAUCUUCCAUUGCUGGAGACCGCCCCCAUCUCCGACCGGAUCCAGGUCCGCUCCCCUGAUAGCCACCAUGGCUUGUGUCGUUGGUGCUAGUGUGGAUGUGCGACAUGUUCAUGUCCCCAGUCUAUGCCAAGUUCAGAAUGCACGUCGGUCUCGUUGUGGAUGCUUCUGUAGUUCGGCAGUCCAACUAAUUGCUCUACCACCGGUUGCUCAAAGCGCCGUGUGAAGUCCAACCCGUGCUCCGCCCCUGGAUCCGGCUCAGCGCCAGUUCCUUGGCGGUUGCUACCCGUCCGCUGCUCCUUCCGCUGUCUGCGCACAACUCCUAGUGCGUAGCAACUGUGUUCUGUAAUUUCAGAAUUUAAUAGGACGUGCUCUUUGACCUACAUUGCUUCGGAAAGGACAAUCCCUAGGUAAAUCUUCUUCAUGAUUUCAGGGCUAUGAAGUGAAUUAUUUGUUGUUACGAUCUAUUUAGCACAUAUAGUUACAAAACAUAGUUCAAAUAAAUUUCCCCCAAAAGUUCAGUAUUUAGGGUUCUGCGCCUGUCCUUACAUUAGCUAGUCUUCAUCAUGUCCAGAUAAUGCCUAAAGUGAAGACAUUAUUUUAUUUCAAUUCAACUUUUGAAUGUCUUUCAGUUCAUCUACUUCUCGGUCGUCCUGAGUUGCAGCAUUGCUGCUACUGUCAAUGUGUUUGCAAGUUGCAACCAUUAUUGAUGCAUUUGUAUUUCAGAUCACUGAGGGUUUCAUGAGGAUGUGCUAAGAAUUUGCUAUUGUCGGUUGCUCUUUGUUGCACUUGGUACCGUCAAUUAAAAUUUGUUACGUCAAUGGUGAUAGUGUACGUCAGUGCAUGUGUGCUAGUACUAGUGUACUUGCGAAGUGACCCUCCUCCUAGUACAACCAAUUCAAUUUCUUGCAUUUCCAUCUGGAGUACAAAAAUGAUCAGUACGAAUUAAAACAAUGAUCAGUUUGAAAAUAAAAGAAAUGAUUACUUCGAAUUAAAAAUUGGUUUGAAUUAAAAACAAUGAUCAGUUCAAAUUUAAAAAAGAUGAUCGGUUCGAAUGCGUAGCUACUGAAAGGUACAUUCUUUCAUUAGUAUAAAUGCAAUUUGUUAAUAAAAAUAAACAGUGAUUCAGUAUGUAUUAUAUGAGCAAUUCAUACAAAAAAGAAGAAGCAAAAAGUAGUGAUUCAAUAUGUAUUAUAUGUCCAAAUUUUGUUUUAUUCAGCACAAGGCUUCCAA